AUAGCAAACUAUUGGAAAUGGAAAUGUAAAAUGUAGUACGAGAACAUAGAGUGCAGUUUUCGUAUCAUAAUGAAGACUCUUAUUAUUGUAUGUUAUAUUAUUCCUCAAAUAAUGAAUCGUCCGAAAUGAGAUAAAAGUUGAAGAAAAUCAUGUAGAAUCGCGCAAUCACCUGUGCUUGUUUACGCGACAUAGUUUUUGAUCUUAGAAGUCUGUGCUUUGGUAUCGACGAUUUGGUUGUCAUUUUGUUGGGAAUGAUAAUAUAUAAUGUUCUGAUUUAUUGAAGAGGAUUUUCGAACAAAAAUCUGUUUUUCCAUCUUAUUUUUCACCAAUCGAACUUUAUUGGAAACUAUUUGGAAAUGGUACGAGGACAUAGAAUAGAGCUUUAGUAUCAUGAUGUAGGAUAUAAUUAUUGUGAGUUAGAUUAUUCCUUACUUUGAUAAUCAU